rnacentral:rRNA from 1 species
CCUACGGGAGGCAGCAGUGAGGAAUAUUGGUCAAUGGGCGGGAGCCUGAACCAGCCAAGCCGCGUGAGGGAAGAAGGUACAACGUAUCGUAAACCUCUUUUGUCAGGGAACAAAGGCGGGGACUAGUCCCCGGUUGAGGGUACCUGAAGAAAAAGCAUCGGCUAAUUCCGUGCCAGCAGCCGCGGUAAUACGGAGGAUGCGAGCGUUAUCCGGAUUUAUUGGGUUUAAAGGGUGCGCAGGGGGCCUUUUAAGUCAGCGGUAAAAGCCCGGGGCUCAACCCCGGCGAGCGGUGGAAACUGGCGGGAUGGAGUUGGAGAGAGGUAGGCGGAAUGCGCGGUGUAGCGGUGAAAUGCUUAGAUAUCGCGCAGAACCCCGAUUGCGAAGGCAGCGUACCGGCGCCACACUGACGCUGAGGCACGAAAGCGUGGGUAUCGAACAGGAUUAGAUACCCCGGUAGUC